rnacentral:rRNA from 1 species
AGAGACUGCAAGCGUUAUUCGGAUUCACUGGGCGUAAAGGGCGCGCAGGCGGCCAUGUGUGUGAGGCGUGAAAGCCCGGGGCUUAACCCCGGAAUUGCACCUCAAACUACAUGGCUAGAGCAUUGGAGAGGGUAGCAGAAUUCACGGUGUAGCAGUGAAAUGCGUAGAUAUCGUGAGGAAUACCAGAGGCGAAGGCGGCUACCUGGACAAUUGCUGACGCUCAGGCACGAAAGCGUGGGGAGCAAAAGGCAUUAGAUACCCCUGUAGUCCACGCCCUAAACGGUGCACACUAGGUCUUGGCGGAUUCGACCCCGCCAGGGCCCAAGCUAACGCGUUAAGUGUGCCGCCUGAGGACUACGGCCGUAAGGCUA